AUCGCUUCGUAGAUCUAUCUCAUCUCUUUUCUGGUUUUUUCUUUCAAAAUGAGUGUCUCUUCAGAGGAUGUCACCAGAUUGCAAUUGUUUGAUGACAUGAUGUCAAAGUUUGAAAACGAGGAGAGUCCUCCAUUUGUUGGUUAUGAUCCAUCUCAUCCAACUAUCUUUCUAACAUUAUUCAAGUGGUAUGAUGAUCCUGAGAAAGCUGCUGAACAACUCAUUGAAUUGUAUCCUCAUGACCUCCCUUAAUCCAUUCUCCCACAGCCCCAACCCAAAUCCCCCAUCGUCCCCCAUUACAUUAGUAGCACAGUGUUUAUAGCACAGUAUUUACCAUUGAUGAUCUUAUAGGUACAAAA